rnacentral:tRNA from 1 species
CGUGGGGUGGAGCAGCCCGGUAGCUCGUCAGGCUCAUAACCUGAAGGCCGCAGGUUCAAAUCCUGCCCCCGCAACCA